UACGUAGGGCGCAAGCGUUAUCCGGAAUUAUUGGGCGUAAAGAGCUCGUAGGCGGCCUGUCGCGUCGACCGUGAAAACCCGCAGCUCAACUGCGGGCUUGCGGUCGAUACGGGCAGGCUGGAGUUCGGUAGGGGAGACUGGAAUUCCUGGUGUAGCGGUGAAAUGCGCAGAUAUCAGGAGGAACACCGGUGGCGAAGGCGGGUCUCUGGGCCGAUACUGACGCUGAGGAGCGAAAGCGUGGGGAGCGAACAGG
rnacentral:rRNA from 1 species